rnacentral:lncRNA from 1 species
UUGGAUACCAACAACACCUCUUCGACCUGCUCACUCAUUCGAAAUCUAAAAGUUGGAAACUACCAAUUUAGCCAAAGCUCCAGCAUUUUCUGUGGAGAAUAGUUUCAAAUGCAAUUGGAACUACUACAAGACUCAACACAUGGGGUAUGCAUUGAAAGAAUAUACUCAGAUAUUCUUAUUCCAUUUUGUAAAUUCCUGUAAUCUAGGGAGAUCAUACUCACUUGUAACUAAUCUUCUUUAUAUGUAAAGCGUAACAUGAAUGAGAAAUCAAGCAAGUCUUUUGACUACUUUCAUGAUAUCA